rnacentral:rRNA from 1 species
GACGAACGCUGGCGGCGUGCUUAACACAUGCAAGUCGAACGGAAAGGCCCUGCUUUGGUGGGGUGCUCGAGUUGCGAACGGGUGAGUAACACGUGAGUAACCUGUCCUUGACUGUGGGAUAACUUCAGGAAACUGGGGCUAAUACCGGAUAGGAGCUCCUGCUUCAUGGUGGGGGUUGGAAAGUUUCGGCGGUUGGUGAUGGACUCGCGGCUUAUCAGCUUGUUGGUGGGGUAGUGGCUUACCAAGGCCUUGACGGGUAGCCGGGCUGAGAGGGUGAGCGGACACAUUAGAACUGGACUGAGGCACAGACUCGUACGGGAGGGAACAGUGGAGUGUAGAGCACAAGGGGAGGAACGCUAGUGCAGCAAAGCAGCGUGGGGGGAGACGGCCAUCGGGUUGUAUUCCGCUUCCGCCUGUGACGAAGCGUGAAUGACGGUAAUGGGUAAAGAAGCACCGGCUAACUACGUG